UACGAAGGGGCUAGCGUUGCUCGGAAUCACUGGGCGUAAAGGGUGCGUAGGCGGGUCUUUUAAGUCAGGGGUGAAAUCCUGGAGCUCAACUCCAGAACUGCCUUUGAUACUGAGGAUCUUGAGUCCGGGAGAGGUGAGUGGAACUGCGAGUGUAGAGGUGAAAUUCGUAGAUAUUCGCAAGAACACCAGUGGCGAAGGCGGCUCACUGGCCCGGUACUGACGCUGAGGCACGAAAGCGUGGGGAGCAAACAGGG
rnacentral:rRNA from 1 species